AAAAGGGACGCCCUGUGAUAUUGGAACAAAUUGAAGACUCCACCCUUCAGGGAGAGUAUAGUUACAUCCAGGAGAGGCAUGAGACUGUUCCUUAAUGGAAAUCGACACAAAUGGUCCAUUGUUGACUAAUUGGAAAUGAACCUGAGGUUUCGGAAAACUCUGAAGUGCGGGCACAUUUUGAGUCACUGCCAACUCAAGUUGCUGUGACAACUAUCACUACUUAUUCUGAAAUGCAGGAAACACCUGUAUAUGCCUUGCUACAGCCGAGUCUAAGGCUGGCAUGAAGAAAUCUGUUGUGAAGCCUUUACUGCUUAAAGGUGAAAACGGGAUUGAUGCAUCUUCCGAGUUUGAACUCAUUGGCUCUAAAUUUGUGUUUGCUUCUAAAAAGCUAGGUGAGGCCAUAGCACGUAAUGGUGCUCUGGCUGAGCCUACUGUUACUGAAAUUGAAGCACUAAAGCGUCCUCGGUCUAUUCCAAUUUCAAGUAUGAUUGUCACCUCAGCCAAG